rnacentral:sRNA from 1 species
UGCUCACUCCUUAAUAAGACAUGAGCCUCAAAACAAUAUUCUUUUUGUUCUUAUUGAUGUUUAAAGUCAUAGACUGCAGCUUCAAAUAAAACCCAAGGUCUUAAAAGAAUAGAAAACAGCAUCGAUAAUCCAUUAGAAACGUCUUAAAAAUCUAGUUAAAUGGUCAAGUUGACUUUUAUUUAAAUGCAGUUGAAGUUUUUCUCACUCCUUAAUAAGACAUGGACCUCAAAACAAUAUUCUUAUUGUUCUUAUUGAUGUUUAAAGACAUAGACUGCCUCUUCAAUUGCCAUAUUUCUAUUCAUUUCAAAUGCGUUAUAAAACAACGCCCUCAUGUACCUCAUAUACCUAGAAUACCUAGACCACCACCUAGAAGACCUAGAAUGAACUAGAAUACCUAGAAUGAAUCUGAACUCUUUUAAAGUUUGUGUUUUUUUGUAGAGACAUAUAUAAAGACCAAACUUUAUCCAACCCAGUUUAAAAAUUA